rnacentral:rRNA from 1 species
CGGCGGACGGGUGAGUAACACGUGGAUAACCUACCUAUAAGACUGGGAUAACUUCGGGAAACCGGAGCUAAUACCGGAUAAUAUAUUGAACCGCAUGGUUUAAUAGUGAAAGACGGUUUUGCUGUCACUUAUAGAUGGAUCCGCGCUGCAUUAGCUAGUUGGUAAGGUAACGGCUUACCAAGGCAACUAUGCGUAGCCGACCUGAGAGGGUGACCGGCCACACUGGAACUGAGACACGGUCCAGACUCCUACGGGAGGCAGCAGGC